rnacentral:rRNA from 1 species
GAUGAACGCUGGCGGCGUGCCUAAUACAUGCAAGUCGAGCGAACAGACGAGGAGCUUGCUCCUCUGACGUUAUCGGCGGACGGGUGAGUAACACGUGGAUAACCUACCUAUAAGACUGGGAUAACUUCGGGAAACCGUAUCUAAUACCGGAUAAUAUAUUGAACCGCAUGGUUCAAUAGUGAAAGACGGUUUUGCUGUCACUUAUAGCUGGAUCCGCGCCGAAUUAGCUAGUUGGUAAGGUCAUGGGUUACCAAGGCGACGAUGCGUAGCCGACCUGAGAGGGUGAUCGGCCACCCGGGAAGUGAGACACGGUCGAGACUCCUACGGGAGGACGCAGUAGGGAAUCUUACGCAAAGGGGGAAAGCCUGACGGAGCAAAGCCGCGUGAGUGAUGAAGGUCUUCGGAUCGUAAAGCUAUGUUAUUAGGGAAGAACAAAUGUGUAAGUAACUAUGAACGUAUUGACGGUACCUAAUCAGAAAGCCACGGCUAACUACGUG